AGAGUUUGAUCCUGGCUCAGGAUGAACGCUGGCGGCGUGCCUAAUACAUGCAAGUCGAGCGAACAGAUAAGGAGCUUGCUCCUUUGAAGUUAGCGGCGGACGGGUGAGUAACACGUGGGUAACCUACCUAUAAGACUGGGAUAACUUCGGGAAACCGGAGCUAAUACCGGAUAACAUUUAGAACCGCAUGGUUCUAAAGUGAAAGAUGGUUUUGCUAUCACUUAUAGAUGGACCCGCGCCGUAUUAGCUAGUUGGUAAGGUAACGGCUUACCAAGGCGACGAUACGUAGCCGACCUGAGAGGGUGAUCGGCCACACUGGAACUGAGACACGGUCCAGACCCCUACGGGAGGCAGCAGUAGGGAAUCUUCCGCAAUGGGCGAAAGCCUGACGGAGCAACGCCGCGUGAGUGAUGAAGGGUUUCGGCUCGUAAAACUCUGUUAUUAGGGAAGAACAAAUGUGUAAGUAACUGUGCACAUCUUGACGGUACCUAAUCAGAAAGCCACGGCUAACUACGUG
rnacentral:rRNA from 1 species